AAAAAGAAGGAAUGGAUGAGGUAAUCCUCCCAGCGGUAUGUCAGGACACUCCUAAGACACAAAGUCUGCAGAGCGGUACUUUUCCUAGGGUCUCCACCCUCACCCUGAUCAUAGGCGUGCAGCGUGCAGUCCCACCCUGUUUCAGCGACUGCCACUUAACAAUCUGCCCUAAAACUUGGUGCUUAAAUCUACAACCUAUUUUCUAUUACAUGUAUUAUAAAUUAUGUACAACUUACAUAAUUAUAAGUUUUAUAUAAUGAUGACAUCUAUUAUUUCACAAUAUAAUGUAAUUACUUAUUUCCACAUCUGCCUUGUGAGACUGUGAAUCUCACAAUUAAUUUAUAAUAAGUCAUAUAUUACAUAUUAUAUAUAUAAUAAACCUAUCACAAACUAUUGUAUCUCUUGAUUUUGUGGGUCAGGAAUUUGGAAAAUUUUUUCUGCUCCUCACUGGUGUUGCUGGAAGUCGCUCCACAGCUGGCAGAUGAGCUGGCUGGGAAGAUACAAGGUGGCUGCACUCACUAUUGGGGGCCCUAGCUCGGAUGCCUGCCAGGCUGGGCUCAGCUGGGACUGCCUCCUACACGUGGCCUCUCCAGCAUGGUGACGUCACGGAAGCCUCAGACUCCUCACACAGAUGCUGGAUUCCCCGGAGGGAGUGUUUCCAGGGGUCCCCUGCAGAAUCAGCAAGCAACGCUUCUGACACCUGCCUCGGAAGGGCCAGAGCACCUCUGCUGUUGUGGUCCAUUGGCAAGCCAAUCACUAAGGCUGGCCUGUACUCAAAGGAAGAAUUAGAUCCCACCUCUCCAUGGGCCGCGCAGCAGAUAAUUCGGGGUCUUGGUUAAUCUACCAUGUUCUUUCUCUCCACUGCAGGGAAAUCUGAACUAACAAGAUUUUGAAUCACUCACCAAAUGGCGGUCUUCCUUUUAACUGAGUCUUAUCUCAUCCUACUACAAAAAUUUCCCAAGAAAAUGUGAAGAGUCUUGAUACGGAGCUCAGGCAGUCACGUGAGUGAAGGGGAGCGGCUGUAAACACAGAUGAAGCUUGGCUCACUCGCUCGCCAUUCACCUCCUGCUGUCCAGUCCAGUCCUGAACGACAGCCCUUUAAACAGAAGGACUCUGUUGUCUAGUUUUUUUACUGUUGUGUCCACAGCACCUAGAAUGACUCUUGGCACAUGGCAGGUACCCUAUAUAUGUUUACUGAAUAAACAUAUUUUUGUUUUCCUGAGGGCUAUGGUGCUUGGGUACAUAUCAGAAGGACCUGGGAAGCUAGCUAAAAAAAUAUGGGGCCGGGCAGGGUGGCUCAUGCCUGUAAUCUCAGCACUUUGGGCGGCUGAGGUGGGCAGA
rnacentral:lncRNA from 1 species